UAUUAUAAACUUCAUCCAUUUGUACUGUUAAAAGCUAGCGUAGUUGAUGGAAUAACCAGACAUUAACACGUGGUAUGCCAAGUGUACCUCAUGCUAACAAACAAAGACAAGUUUUUAAAAGUAAAAAUGGAUGAAACUUUUAAUA
rfam:Gossypium raimondii Chr09_contig_1812, whole genome shotgun sequence.